GGCCCCUUUGACCUGUGACCUGAUGGAGGAGAGUCAGGACAAUAAAGGGUCUAUAUUGAGCGGGCAGCUUGGGAUUUCAGGGGCUCUGACUGUAUAAGAGUUACACAUGGAAAUUGCAUCCAUAAUUCCUGGGAAGACAAUCUGAAGACCCUUCUCAUGAAGUAGACGAAGAGCUGCCUCACUCUGUCUAGGAAAGCAGAUUCCUGCUUCCAGGCUGUGCUGACACGUUCACCCAUGGUGUUGUUCUGAGGAACAGGAUCAUCUGCAGCAGAAAAAGGAGGUCCACAGAGAUGAAGAGUGUGGUCUGUCAACACAAGCAUCCAGGCAGAAUCCCUAGAAACGUGGUCCUUGGGAGUUCUUGUCUCAGCCAUUUGAGAUGGAAGCUCUGGCUUCAGGUCUGGCAAGGAAUGCUUCCCGAGGGUCUCUUAGAUCCUGUCCUAAGACAAGACUGACCAUUGGGCCAAGACAUGGGUGCUCUUGACACAGAGCUCCAGCUCUGUGAGGAAUCAAGAUGCAGGCCCUCCCCCUCCCUCUGGGGGCCCAUCACUCUCUGCUCACACCCUGCAGCUAACUUCACAUCAAGGAUGAGUCGUCAGUGUGCUCCAAUUUAUCCACACUUCAUAUAAGCACUCCUAUGAGUCAAAGGAGCAGGAGUUGUACAGAAAUCCAUGAGCCAUUGAGUAUUACAUCUGAAGAAUUGCACACUCACUGAAACUUGAGCUGUGGAGUCCAUUCCAAUUUGUGUGUGAUUCCUAGCGCCACCGAAAGAGUUUGCUUAUCACCCAAGCAGAGGAAGGACCAUUCUCCUCCAUCAGUUUUUCUACUAAAUGAUCAUAAUGAAUCAUUCUCCAGACUCGAUUGAGUCACAUUUGCCCCAAGUUGUCACAGUUACACAUGAUCUUGAAUUCAAGUGCUACAGAGUCUCCAUUUCUCUCUAUUUAUCCUAGAAAUCUACCUAAAUUCAAGAAUGGUGCUUUCCUCAGAGUUUUAAUCCUUACCGGACAAGGUUGAAUCAUAAUAGAGAUAAAGGUCACUUUGGCUGUUCCUCAUCUUUGCAGAAACACCUCCUUUCACCACUCCAUCAACUAAGAUGUUUAUGGAAAUUUUCAUGUGUCUGAACAC
rnacentral:lncRNA from 1 species